rnacentral:rRNA from 1 species
ACUCCUACGGGAGGCAGCAGUGGGGAAUAUUGCACAAUGGGCGAAAGCCUGAUCCAGCAAUGCCGCGUGUGUGAAGAAGGCCUUCGGGUUGUAAAGCACUUUUGUCCGGAAGAAAUGGCAUCUGGUUAAUACCUGGGGUGCGAUGACGGUACCGGAAGAAUAAGGACCGGCUAACUACGUGCCAGCAGCCGCGGUAAUACGUAGGGUCCAAGCGUUAAUCGGAAUUACUGGGCGUAAAGCGUGCGCAGGCGGUUGUGCAAGACCGAUGUGAAAUCCCCGAGCUUAACUUGGGAAUUGCAUUGGUGACUGCACGGCUAGAGUGUGUCAGAGGGGGGUAGAAUUCCACGUGUAGCAGUGAAAUGCGUAGAGAUGUGGAGGAAUACCGAUGGCGAAGGCCAGCCCCUGGGAUAACACUGACGCUCAUGCACGAAAGCGUGGGGAGCAAACAGGAUUAGAUACCCUGGUAGGAUAGCGU